AGAACGAACGCUGGCGGCAUGCCUAACACAUGCAAGUCGAACGAACCCUUCGGGGUUAGUGGCGCACGGGUGCGUAACGCGUGGGAACCUACCAUCAGGUUCGGAAUAACAGUUAGAAAUGACUGCUAAUACCGGAUAAUGUCUUCGGACCAAAGAUUUAUCGCCUUUUGAUGGGCCCGCGUUGGAUUAGCUAGUUGGUAAGGUAAAAGCUUACCAAGGCGACGAUCCAUAGCUGGUCUGAGAGGAUGAUCAGCCACACUGGGACUGAGACACGGCCCAGACUCCUACGGGAGGCAGCAGUGGGGAAUAUUGGACAAUGGGCGAAAGCCUGAUCCAGCAAUGCCGCGUGAGUGAUGAAGGCCUUAGGGUUGUAAAGCUCUUUUACCCGAGAUGAUAAUGACAGUAUCGGGAAGAAGUAACGCCCCGACUAACCUCCGUGCCAGCAGCCGAC
rnacentral:rRNA from 1 species